rnacentral:lncRNA from 1 species
CCAAAGGUUACAUAGCCGGUGGCCUGAGGAUGAAGGCCAGUUAGCAGGUUUUUGUUUCCAGUCAUGUGUCUGGAGCACCCACUGUCAAAAUACCAAUCUUCUUUAGCUGAAACUCUGAAGGAAGUGUGAGCUAUCAGACUUGUAACAUCAGUCCUAGGAACCCAUUGCUUUUUGUUGACAGGUAUGUGAUGUUUGGGUCUAGGUUGAUGA